UGGUUUGAUGAAUUUCGUUAUUUUUAUGGGAUUCUUGACCACUAUCUCUUAAAAUAUUUCUUCCGCCCUGUUCUCUCACUCUUCUUCUCUUGUCCAGAAGACGGAUCUGAGGACCCAUCCCCACACAGCCAUCAGUUACCUUCUGUGUGCCUGCACUGUGGAGGAAGCCUUUCUCCCGGCUCCUGCCUGCCUGUCAUCCUCCUCAGGAGCAUCCAGGGGAAGGCUUGUGAGUGAGGGAGCACAGACUGCCCUGUGUCUGGAGCACCCAACUGUUUUGGAGCGAUGCACUAGCCCACACGGGGCCGUCGGCAGUUGGUUAAAACCUAAGCUUAUUUCUCGUUCCCCACUUGCACCUGCUGGCCCUCUCUCCCAUGCUCUACUCCAGGUGACACCGUGAGUGAGUUCCAUCUCUCCUCACAAGGCCUUAACUCUUUGGAAUUCUGGUAGUUAGCUGCCUUGUGAUCUCAGCUCUCUGAUGGGUUUGAGAAAAACUGAUUGCGUAGCAGGUUAAGAUGGGGUAAUAUUUAUAGCUUUCUUCAUCCCAAGCGGAAGUGGCAUCUCCACUGGUUACACUUUGAAUUCAUGACUCCAUACUCUUUCCUGCUGCUGGGCAAUCCCACUCCAUCUCUCUGGUGUAAUCAUUCUCUCAUUCUCCUGGAUGACUGCUUCAGUUUUCCCUCUCUCCUCCUGCAAACUCACUCUCAGCUGAUGAAUUUGCUUCCCAUUUCACUGUAAAAGCAAAAGCAACCUUCCACCAACUCUCACUAUGACACCUACCCAUCUACCUGUGUCUACCCUCUGCCUUCCCUCCUGUUAGAGGAUGAACAGCCAAUGAUCCUAGCAGAGAACCACACCCUUAUUUGUCCAUCAGACAAUUCCCAUAGUCUCUCAUCUACUCAAAGAUGUCUCUCCAGCAUUUCUCUUCUCCCUCUCUGGUCAUCAACUUUCCCUCUCUGCCUCAAACAGCAAACUCUGCUCCCUUCUAAACUUGUCUAGGUAUACAAUAUAACAGAACCCUAUAUUUAUGUAUUUUACUUUCCCAUCAUGGUUAUGUCGGACUUUAUUGCCAUUUAUAAAAAUGGAGGCGGGCCUAAUAAGCUUCCUUUGCACUUUUCUAAUUCUUUCAAAUUCUAUUCCUGUAGACUCCUUCAACUUGGCGUGCAAAUCGCUGAAAAUACUCGUGCUGCCAGCAGAGGGCGCCCUCAUUGUGCCCAUGCUCCGUCCAGGAAGUGCAUAGUGGAGUCCAAAGGAGAUUUGGUCUGGGAAACAUUUGCCCGGGGUUUCUGGUUAUCAUAUUUCCCCAACAGGCACCUGUUUGACUGGCAUUUCCUGGCUCACACCCAUCUUAGCAUAUUUCUUUGUUGGUUGAUUGGCUUGAAGGAAGGUUUCAGUAAUUCAUUACUUCACAUCAUCAGAGCGGAACCCCAUAAGCAAUUAACCCUUCACAAGCUGAGUCACCGGACUUUGGAUAAUACAGGAUUAGACCAUUUAGCUGAAGCAGCUCAAGUCUGUAAAUAUGCAUGGGUUUCUGGAGCCUUUGGCAAUGCCUUAUAUGGAUUUCCUGAAUCAUCAGCAGAACACAGAGAGUCUGGCUCUCCCCACCACCCUGCUGCUGGUGUGUAGCUGUAUCAGAGACAUUGCCUGGGAAGACCACGUGGGACCAGCUGUGUCUGAAACUCUGCUGAUUCUCAGGAACAAGGCCCUGAGCUGCACGUCUAGUUUCUCAGCUUGUCCGUUGGGAUGGAGCACCCUGUAGCAGUUAGUCAACCUGAGGUAACCUGAUUCUUCUGCUUGAGUGGCUUCACGAAGCAGCGAACACUUUUCCUGUCCAUUGUUGAACCCCUCAUGCCUAACCCAGUGCCUAGAACACAGGCUCGUCAUAGAUGUGUGGAAUGAAUGGAUGAAAGAAAACAACGAAGAGCCAGUUGUCGGUGGAGGAUCCCAAAGGAGCAGUUCCGCCUUCAUGUUGAAGACUUUCUUUGCCCUGCAUGUUGUAACCACAUAAAGCUAGCUGGGAGCCACGUGGCUGCCCUCAUUGUUGCUCCUUGGCAAUGUUCUCUCUGUGCCAGGCAUCAAACAUGAGCCCCUCAGUGGGAUCCCUGCCCUGUGUGCGCCCCAAUACCUGGACACUUCCUGGAUGCUCCAAGAGGAUGGAGAUUUGCCCCUCCCGACUUUCCCAUGAUUAAUGUUUGUCCGUAGCCUUGUCACAACCAACCUUGGGAGUGUUGCUGGGUUCUGGUGGGGGUCCCUCCUGAGAGAGGCCUUUCUAUUCUGUGAGGUGAAUUGAAGGCUGUCAAACCUUUCGCUCAAACUGGUCUCAUCUGCAUCAAGUCGUACAGAAAUUCCUUGAAAUGUCUGGUAUGUGGGUGGAAUCCUUUUUCAGUUUUGAAGAAUGACAGAUUUUCCCCUAUCAUUAUUUUCCUUUGGCUGUGUCAAUGGGAGUUUGGAAGAGAGACAGGAUGGGAAGUUCAAUGUGAGGAUUUGAAUGCCUGUCACAGAAUAGAAGUCUGUCCUUGUACUUUUCCUAGUCUCUUUAGACAAAGUCCCCUCCACCUUAUAGCCCUAUGUAUGUAUAGCCCUAUGUAUGUAUGUAU
rnacentral:lncRNA from 1 species